rnacentral:lncRNA from 1 species
ACUCCGGGGCUACAUUGGCAGAGACAGUGUGCUCAGGCUAGAUUUCAGGAGAGCUGCUCCUGUGUACUCCCCCAGCACCCAGACUCACCUUAUAUUCGUGAGUGAACUGAUGUUCAUGAACAUGAGCUUAUAAAUGUGUUGUUUAUCAUGAAGUAUCACGGACUAUCGUUAAGUCUGUUUCCUGUGUCUCUCAAGAGAUGAAGGAGAAAAGGCCUAUCUCUGUCGAUGUUGAAUCAUGGGAGCAGGGAGUAUCCUGAGUAGGACUGAGAGGUUCAGAAAGGAGUCAGGCUCAAGCUUCAAGGGGAUGUGUGCCUGACCACCCACCAGCCAACAGUGCAACUCUGGAUACUCCAGCCAUGAUGUCCUGGUCAUGCUAGUCAAGAAUGGUUCCCUCAUCCCAGCCCCUGACUUGGGUUUGCAACAUGUCCUGGAACCUGGACCACCAGCACCAGAUGCUGCUGCUACAAAAUUCCUGAACAAGAUGCGAAAGUGUUUCAGCUGAGCCUUGAGAGGUGAAAGUACCUGUGCACCUGUCCCCUGGAUGGGACAACUUGAGGAAGGGCCAUCCAUAUUCCCAUUCCCUACCCAGGACACUGCUAAUGUGCAUAUGAGGAGAACACAAGACCCCAACCUGCUGCAGGGUGGAGAGUAGAGACAACUGGAGCUUUCCGCAUAACACUUGUGCAUUCCUUCUGCAGGCUUCAAAAGCCUAAUCUGUGAUUUUAGACACAAGACAGGAGGAGACUGAGAGGUGAAUGCUGGCCAGUCCUGUGUGUUCUGCCAGGGUAGUGACUGGCAAAUGAUGUUCCACUGACUAGAUUGUUGGAUAGUAAUUGUUGUAGUCCAAGAGACUCUUUGACAAGUCAAGAGUGUGUACAUCUGGAGCAUUCUGGGAACAUAAUUUUAAUAGUAAUAUAUUUUAUGUAACCUGAAA